rnacentral:rRNA from 1 species
UCAUUACAGUGACCCCGGUCUAACCACCGGGAUGUUCAUAACCCUUUGUUGUCCGACUCUGUUGCCUCCGGGGCGACCCUGCCUUCGGGCGGGGGCUCCGGGUGGACACUUCAAACUCUUGCGUAACUUUGCAGUCUGAGUAAACUUAAUUAAUAAAUUAAAACUUUUAACAACGGAUCUCUUGGUUCUGGCAUCGAUGAAGAACGCAGCGAAAUGCAGUAAGUAAUGUGAAUUGCAGAAUUCAGUGAAUCAUCGAAUCUUUGAACGCACAUUGCGCCCCCUGGUAUUCCGGGGCUUAUGCCUGUUCGAGCGUCAUUUCACCACUCAAGCCUCGCUUGGUAUUGGGCAACGCGGUCCGCCGCGUGCCUCAAAUCGACCGGCUGGGUCUUCUGUCCCCUAAGCGUUGUGGAAACUAUUCGCUAAAGGGUGCUCGGGAGGCUACGCCGUAAAACAAACCCAUUUCUAAGGUUGACCUCGGAUCAGGUAGGGAUACCCGCUGAACUUAAGCAUAUCAAUAAGCGGAGGAA